rnacentral:lncRNA from 1 species
CCUAAUCGAUCUUAUUUUCAUAUUUCAUCCGGUGGAGUCAGCCAUUCAUUGCAGUCCAAACCCUUAUCCCUUUUUGCAAAAACCCUUUUCUUCCCCUUCUCUGCCUAAUCGACCUCCUUCACGAUUUUCUCAAAAUUGGAAUAUGCACCUGCAUCGGUUGGUUUUGCGGCUGGAGAAUCUUGGAGUAAACUUUAAUUAUUGCAGAUGCGUUUUUGGUAUCUGAGCGAAGGGAUUGGAAUCAAUCAAUGGGCAUGAACGUGAUUAAUUGUUUUACUCAAGGUACUAGCUUAUUUCUUCUGAUUAGUUAUGGAAAAGAACAAUAUUUCAUUUUUCUGUUAGACCUUGUUGCUUCAUUAUUAUUCCAAUGUAUAGCAGAUUUAAGAACGGUGAAACAAAGUUUCCGG